rnacentral:rRNA from 1 species
ACGCACGCUGGCGGCGUGCUUAACACAUGCAAGUCGAACGGAAAGGCCCUGCUUGCAGGGUACUCGAGUGGCGAACGGGUGAGUAACACGUGGGUGAUCUGCCCUGCACUUCGGGAUAAGCUUGGGAAACUGGGUCUAAUACCGGAUAGGAGCCAUCUUUAGUGUGGUGGUUGGAAAGUUUUUUCGGUGUAGGAUGAGCUCGCGGCCUAUCAGCUUGUUGGUGGGGUAAUGGCCUACCAAGGCGGCGACGGGUAGCCGGCCUGAGAGGGUGUACGGCCACAUUGGGACUGAGAUACGGCCCAGACUCCUACGGGAGGCAGCAGUGGGGAAUAUUGCACAAUGGGCGCAAGCCUGAUGCAGCGACGCCGCGUGGGGGAUGAAGGCCUUCGGGUUGUAAACUCCUUUCGCUAGGGACGAAGCUUUUUUGCGACGGUACCUAGAUAAGAAGCACCGGCUAACUACGUG